UAUGGGUGGCUGGUCUCAGAAGAGACCCCAUUUGUAUCACUUUUCUGACUCAGCCACCUGAGA
rnacentral:pre_miRNA from 1 species